GAGGUUAAUGUUCAGGGCUUCCAGGGUGU
rnacentral:piRNA from 1 species